GAGUUGCUGCCAUUACUUCGUCUCCAUGUUUCUCUUUUGUUAAGUUCGAGUUCCGGUUGUUGUGUGUCGCGCUUAGAGUUGUGGUUGCUACUACGGAUAGUGGAUAAAGCUGAGAUUACGGCUGCUGCUGUCGCUGGUCGAGGAAAAGGGGUUUUCGACACAUUUUGGUUUUGCGAGUUUCGACUUUGAGGAAUCGGAUGAAGCAUUAUGAAGAGUUAUACUGCGUUUGG